UGGCUGCAGUAGGUUCAUUGUAGGAAAAGGGUGCGCACUUAGAUGUAAUCUAUCUCUCUUGGUAGAUAGGGGUGUUAGUCCUAUGUGAUUUAUGAGACCGAGUUUAGAAGACCUUGGCCAGGGCAGAAUAAAUAUCGGAAAAGGGUUUCCGAUAUUAGAAACUCGAGUCGAAUAAAUUUAACAUAUGACAGACGAUGGGGUUUGACGAGUUAUUCCAUAACCUCCGUCU
rnacentral:lncRNA from 1 species